CCCCCCCAGCCAUGGCGGCCGAGCCCCCCCGGAGCAGCCGCUGGAGCCCACGAGUGACAGCGACCCCUGGUGGGGGCUGGGGGGCAGGCUCGCGCUGCUGCUGCCCCCCGGGCCGGCCCGGCAGUGGCUGCAGACGCAGCACUUGGGGUCCGGCCGUGGGGCUCGUUCCUGGACCCCCCAGCGCUUCGCGCCCCCCGGGGGCUGGCGGAUGUGGGGCAGCGGCUGCGGCGUAACGGGGCCCAUUUCCAGAGCAACUACCUGUGCGUGGGGCUGGGCAUCGGCCUCUACGCGCUGGUCUCGUCCCCGGGGCUCGUGGCGGCUCUGGGCGUGUUCCUGGGGGUUUGGUACCGGCUGCGGAUGCGCCAGAAGGGGGCGCUGCUGAUGGGGCUGGAGCCGCCCCCUCCCCCGGCCGCCGCCGCGCUGCUCUCUCUGCCGCUCUUCUGGUUCUUCGGCGCUGGAGCCGCCGUCUGCUGGGGGCUGGGGGCGUGGCUGCUGCUGUGCGGGGCGCACGCGGCGCUGCGGCUGCCGGAGCCGCCCCCGGAGUGGCCGCCGCUGCACGUGGAGCCCGUGUGACCCCCGCGUGACCCCCGCGUGACCCCUGCGUGACCCCCCCCCGCGCGAGACCGGAGCCACGGAACGCCACAAACCGCGAAAAAUGCACCAAAACCCCCCGGUUUGGGGCCUCGGGCGCCGCUAGGCCUCACCCCCGGUUUCCGCUUCCGCGUGGCCGUUGCCGGGCGACAGCCAAUGGGAAUCGGCCUCCCAGGCGCCUCUGCGCCACCGUUGCCAGGCGGCAGCCAAUCACAAGGCGCCUCCCGGCCUCGUGUGCGCGCGUUGCCAGGCAACAGCCCCCGGGGGGGGGCCCCCCCCCCGCCGCGCCCCCCCCAAUAAACCAUGGAGACGGCGCAGGGAGCGGCCCGGUCGUUAUUUGGGGGGGCACAGGAACCCCAACCAGCGCCCUCAUUGGCCCGCAGCCCGCCAAUCAGCGGGCGAGCCCCGCCCACGAGUGGGCAGUGACCGACAGAGCCCGCCAGAGCCCGACAAGGCACGACAAGUCCCGAAAGGGUGGGGCUGAGGUGGGCGGGGCCUGCCUAGGGCGGCCAUUCUGGGGUGGGGCCCAAGGUGGGUGGUGGGGCCUGUGGCUCUGUUUGCCCCUGACGGCCAUCUUGGAAAAGGGCAGCGCUGUGCCGCUGCCAUCCUGACGUUGCUCCCCCAGGGCCGUGUUGGGGGAUUUUUAACCUGGUUUUGAGGCCAAUUCUCACCCAAUAAAAUUAAAUAAUGUAAAAAAACCUUAA